rnacentral:rRNA from 1 species
UUGCCAGCCCGCUCAGAAACUCAAGGAAUUGACGGGGCCCGCACAAGCGGUGGAGUAUGUGGUUUAAUUCGAUGCAACGCGAAGACCUUACCUGGUCUUGACAUCCCGGAGACCCUUAGGAAACUAGGGGGUGCUUCCAUCUGGAAGAAUCUGGAGACAGGUGCUGCAUGGCUGUCGUCAGCUCGUGUCGUGAGAUGUUGGGUUAAGUCCCGCAACGAGCGCAACCCUUGCCUUUAGUUGCCAGCAGUUCGGCUGGGCACUCUAAAGGGACUGCCGGUGUUAAACCGGAGGAAGGUGGGGAUGACGUCAAGUCCUCAUGGCCUUUAUGACCAGGGCUACACACGUACUACAAUGGCCGAUACAAAGGGCAGCGACACUGCGAGGUGAAGCCAAUCCCGUAAAAUCGGUCUCAGUCCGGAUUGGAGUCUGCAACUCGACUCCAUGAAGUUGGAAUCGCUAGUAAUCGUGGAUCAGCAUGCCACGGUGAAUACGUUCCCGGGCCUU